rfam:Triticum aestivum genome assembly, contig: Triticum_aestivum_CS42_TGACv1_scaffold_322006_4BL
AUAAUACUCCUUCCGUCCGGAAUUGUUUGUCAUCAAAAUGGAUGUGUCUAGAACUAAAAUACAUCUAGAUACAUCCAUUUCAAUGACAAGUAUUUUCGAACGGAGGGAGUAGUAG